rnacentral:rRNA from 1 species
AGUGAACGCUGGCGGUAGGCCUAACACAUGCAAGUCGAACGGCAGCACAGGAGAGCUUGCUCUCUGGGUGGCGAGUGGCGGACGGGUGAGGAAUACAUCGGAAUCUACUCUGUCGUGAGGGAUAACGUAGGGAAACUUACGCUAAUACCGCAUACGACCUACGGGUGAAAGCAGGGGACCUUCGGGCCUUGCGCGAUUGAAUGAGCCGAUGUCGGAUUAGCUAGUUGGCGGGGUAAAGGCCCACCAAGGCGACGAUCCGUAGCUGGUCUGAGAGGAUGAUCAGCCACACUGGAACUGAGACACGGUCCAGACUCCUACGGGAGGCAGCAGUGGGGAAUAUUGGACAAUGGGCGCAAGCCUGAACCAGCCACACCGCGUGGGUGAAGAAGGCCUUCGGGUUGUAAAGCCCUUUUGUUGGGAAAGAAAUCCAGCUGGCUAAUACCCGGUUGGGAUGACGGUACCCAAAGAAUAAGCACCGGCUAACUUCGUGCCAGCAGCCGCGGUAA